rnacentral:rRNA from 1 species
CAAUAGCGUAUAUUAAAGUUGUUGCAGUUAAAGCUCGUAAGUUGGAUUUCGGAGUGGGCCAGUUGGUCCGCCGCAAGGUGUGUUACUGACUGGUUUGCUCUUCUUCGCAAAGACUGCGUGUGCCCUUAAAUGAGUGUGCGUAGGAUUUACGACGUUUACUUUGAAAAAUUAGAGUGUUCAAAGCAGGCUAUUGCUUGAAUACAUGAGCAUGGAAUAAUGGAAUAGGACUUUGGUCCCCAUUUUGUUGGUUUCUAGGGCCGAAGUAAUGAUUAAGAGGGACAAUUGGGGCAUCCGGUACUUUCGUUGUCAGAGGUGAAAUUCUUGGAUUUACGAAAGACGAACACUGCGAAAGCACUUGCCAA